AGCUCUGGCCAAUGGGCUUGAAUGCGAGCGCGCUGAGGCCCCGGAGAGCCGGCGCGACGCUACCGCGUCCUCCUUCCUCUGCGGUGGCCUCGGAGGCCCCGAGGUGUGGCUGGAGCGGCCGGAGGACCGCCCCGGAGCCCCGUGUGGACGCUUUACGGCCAGGGGUUGGUUUGUACCGCAGCCUGGCUCACCCUGACGGACAUGAGGACGUGGAAGGGAAUGACUCCCGAGCCCCUGGCAAAGCAGCCUGCGGGCCCCGCCUCUGCUGCCGCGGGCAGGGCAGCGCUGGCCUGGCGCCGAAACUCGGGUGUCUCCUCCGCAAACUGGGAUACGGAGUCUCACUGACAGGGCGGACGUACCGGAAGAGAGGAUUUGCACGUCCAGCUGGGGCCUGGGCCCCAGGAGGGGCACGGACCGGUGUCAGUUCUCCGCUGCCUCCGGAGCUUCGCGGCCUCGCAGGGAGACCAGCCCCUCCAAGAGCUCAGUGACAUCAGCUUGCCAUCCGGGCGUACGUUUGGUCAAAGGUGCAGACGCCUGUGCCUGGGCGUGAACCCAGCACUUCUCAGAAGUGUGAACUCUCCGCUCGCCUCCCCCGCGGCUGCGCACGCAGGACCGAAGGCGGUGGAGCCAUCCGGAGUCCGCCCUGCCCUUGGCGUCAGCUUUCUUAAGAGGGUCUGGAAGGCAUAUCUGAAACAAGGUGUUGGCUGGUUCUUCUUUUUAUUUUUUUGAAAAUAUGGCAUUUCUUUCCAUCUAAUUCCAGUCUGCACGAAACCCCCAGUCUGGACCAGGCACACAGUAGGCCUACAGCACGUGCUGGAGAAAUGAGUUUGAGAAGUGCGCUUUCCACCUACCAGACCCUGAAAGAAAGUGUCAGGAGCCGGUGCAAAAUCCGGUUUAAGUUCAAGAAGACAUUUGGAAGUCCAGGAGGCCAAGCAGUUUGAAGAAGU